AGAGAUAACACUGUAAGCCCAAAUGUAUGUGAUUAAGUUCUAAAAGUGUAAACCAAUAGGGAGUGCUGUGAGGUGUCACCACGGGCGCAGAUUGCAGCAGAUCUGACCAUACAAGUGUAAAUAAAACCCUAUUGAAUGCCCCCUCUCCCUCCCCAAUUGUUCUGAGUGGUUGCUUCAAGAUUUCUUCUCAUCGUUCUCAAAUUGUUACUGUGAGAUUAACUGGCAAACAUUUCUCCUUAACAUAAGAAGUGUGAAUGGAAUCCUACCAAGUGAUUUUGCCAAUAGUUCCUAUUCCUGCUGCAAACAGUGGUGUGCUCAGGCUUAAGCUGUAACAUGUCCACACUCACCUGUCACUUGGGAAUGCCUCUGUUGGAAUGCAACAUGCCCACUUAUCACACAGCCGGCAUGAGAGGCAGAGUGGAGUUUAACCAAGCAUUCUGCCCCCAAAGUCUGCAGAUGUAGCCAGUGCCUUCAGAAAAGGGAAGGGAAACUAACCCUGUUGAGUAUCUACUAUGUGCUAGGCAUUCUGUUAAGCACUUUUACACACAUCAUUUAAUCCUCGUGACAGUAUUUAGAAAUAGCUAUCAUUUCCCAGUUCUGUAGAUGAGGAAGAAAAGGUAGGCUCAGAGAGGGUAGGUAAGUUGUCUAAGGUCACAUAGCUGGUACAUAGUAGUAGAGCUAGGGUGCAAACCCAAGAUUUUCUGAGUCCAAAGCACAUGCCUAUUCCAUCAUUUCGGUAAUAAGAAUAAAUGUCUUUCAAAUGUAGUGGUGAGAGAUGAAUAAAAAGCCGUCCUUGGUGAUCCUGGGGAGUCUACACCCUCUGCCUGCCUGGCUCCACAUCAAGCUUGUGUUUGCCAGCACUUACACCCCUGCAUUUCCCUCCAAUCCCUGUCAUCUCCCUUGUGGAGUCCUCUCCUCCUCUCCUACCCGUUGGUCCCCUUUUUCACCCAUCCUUCAGCCAUUUAAUGAUCUCAUCUUUAAUUCCUGUUUAUAACUCCAUGAGCUCCUCGAUCACUGUCUCCUGAGAUGUCCUUUUUGUCACUGG
rnacentral:lncRNA from 10 species